rnacentral:rRNA from 1 species
UACGGAGGAUCCGAGCGUUAUCCGGAUUUAUUGGGUUUAAAGGGUGCGUAGGCGGCCUGUUAAGUCAGGGUGAAAGACGGUAGCUCAACUAUCGCAGUGCCCUUGAUACUGAUGGGCUUGAAUGUACUAGAGGUAGGCGGAAUGUGACAAGUAGCGGUGAAAUGCAUAGAUAUGUCACAGAACACCAAUUGCGAAGGCAGCUUACUAUGGUAUAAUUGACGCUGAGGCACGAAAGCGUGGGAUCAAACAGG